AGUCACGGCCGGGAAACCAACCCGGGCCGCCCGCGUAGAAGGCGAGCAUUCUGCCACUGAACGACCGGUGC